rnacentral:rRNA from 1 species
AUUGAACGCUGGCGGCAGGCCUAACACAUGCAAGUCGAGCGGUAGAGAGGUGCUUGCAUCUCUUGAGAGCGGCGGACGGGUGAGUAAUGCCUAGGAAUCUGCCUAGUGGUGGGGGAUAACGUUCGGAAACGGACGCUAAUACCGCAUACGUCCUACGGGAGAAAGCGGGGGGAUCUUCGGACCUCGCGCCAUUAGAUGAGCCUAGGUCGGAUUAGCUAGUUGGUGAGGUAAUGGCUCACCAAGGCGACGAUCCGUAACUGGUCUGAGAGGAUGAUCAGUCACACUGGAACUGAGACACGGUCCAGACUCCUACGGGAGGCAGCAGUGGGGAAUAUUGGACAAUGGGCGAAAGACCUGAUCCAGCCAUGCCGCGUGUGUGAGAAGGUCUUCGGAUUGUAAAGCACUUUAAGUUAGGGUAGGAAGGGUAGUAACCUAAU